rnacentral:rRNA from 1 species
UACGGGGGGGGCAAGCGUUGUUCGGAAUUACUGGGCGUAAAGGGCUCGUAGGCGGCCAACUAAGUCGGACGUGAAAUCCCUCAGCUUAACUGGGGAACUGCGUCUGAUACUGGAUGGCUUGGAUUCGGGAGAGGGAUGCGGAAUUCCAGGUGUAGCGGUGAAAUGCGUAGAUAUCUGGAGGAACACCGGUGGCGAAGGCGGCAUCCUGGACCGGUAUUGACGCUGAGGCGCGAAAGCGUGGGGAGCAAACAGG